UACGUAGGGUGCGAGCGUUAAUCGGAAUUACUGGGCGUAAAGCGUGCGCAGGCGGUUUUGUAAGACAGGUGUGAAAUCCCCGGGCUUAACCUGGGAACUGCGCUUGUGACUGCAAGACUCGAGGUACGGCAGAGGGGGGUAGAAUUCCACGUGUAGCAGUGAAAUGCGUAGAGAUGUGGAGGAAUACCGAUGGCGAAGGCAGCCCCCUGGGUCGAUACUGACGCUCAUGCACGAAAGCGUGGGGAGCAAACAGG
rnacentral:rRNA from 1 species